GAUGAAGAACGUAGCGAAAUGCGAUACUUGGUGUGAAUUGCAGAAUCCCGUGAACCAUCGAGUCUUUGAACGCAAGUUGCGCCCGAAGCCAUCAGGUUGAGGGCACGUCUGCCUGGGCGUCACAUAUCGUUGCCCAAUGCCUAUUGCAGUGCAAUAGGAAUUUCUAGGGCGAAUGAUGGCUUCCCGUGAGCGUUGUUGCCUCGCGGUUGGUUGAAAAUCGAGUCCUUGGUAGGGUGUGCCAUGGUAGAUGGUGGUCGAGUUAGAACGAUACCGAUCAUGUGCAUGCUCCCCAAAAUAUGGCCUCUAUGACCCACACGCGUCUUUUGACGCUCAUGACGAGACCUCAGGUCAGGCGGGGCUACCCGCUGAAUCUAAGCAUAUCAAUAAGCGGAGGA
rnacentral:misc_RNA from 1 species